ensembl:lncRNA
UUCUGAAGGAGAUCAGCCCUGGGAUUUCUUUGGAAGGAAUGAUGCUAAAGCUGAAACUCCAGUACUUUGGCCACCUCAUGCGAAGAGUUGACUCAUUGGAAAAGACUCUGAUGCUGGGAGGGUUUGGGGGCAGGAGGAGAAGGGGACGAGAGAGGAUGAGAUGUCUGGAUGGCAUCACUGACUCGAUGGACGUGAGUCUGUGUGAACUCCGGGAGUUUGUGAUGGACAGGGAGGCCUGGUGUGCUGCUAUUCAUGGAGUCGCAAAGAGUCGGACAUGACUGAGCGACUGAACUGAACUGAAUACAUUUGGGGAGCAAUAAUUUCAAGUCAAAUAACUGUUUCUUUCUACAUAACUGCUGCUGUCAUGAAUAUACAACUGUGUAUCCUGCUUUGUGGGCUUCCCAGGUGGCUCAUUGGUAAAAGAAUCCGCCUGCAAUGCAGGAGACUGGAGUUCAAGCCCUGGGUUGGGAAGAUCCCUGGAGAAGGAAAUGGCAACCCACUCCAGUACUCUUGCCUGGACAAUCCCAUGGACAGAGGAGCCUGGUGGGCUACAGUCCACAGGGUUGCAAAAGAGUCAGACAUGUCUUAGUGACUAAACAACAACAUCCUGCUUUGUAUCCAUGGUGGAAAAUGCCCCCAUAUUAAUGAAACUUUGCUGAAAUAUUAUCUUAAAGUUUAAGGAGAGUGUGACUCCCACACAUCAGAAAGGCCAGGUUCCCUACACAGCCAGUGCUGGAAGCAAGUGGUUGGGCAAACCCCCAUCUUCUUCUAGAUACAGAACAUCCUUGCUCAUCAUCACAGUCCUGAUCCAGGGUGGGGUGGUGCUGAAGAGAGGGGUCUCAUGGCUUCUAAUCCGAUGCUGAUUACUCAUCUUAUUUUUGCCAUAGUUGAAACAUGACAUUGUUUCUGCUCUCUGCCUUUCUUUCCCACUUGAUGAUUGCCAAGAUACUUUCAUCUCUAAAAUGCUCUGUCUCCAGACUUAGUUCCUUAGUACCAUGGAGCACAGGCUUCCCAGGUGGCUGAGCGGUGAGGAAUCCACCUGCAAUGCAGGAGACCCAGGUUCAAUCCCUGGGUCGGAAGAUCCCCUGGAGAAGGGAAUGGCUACCCACUCCAGUGUUCUUGCCUGGAGAAUCCCAUGGACAGAGGAGGCUGGUGGGCUACAGUCCAGAGGGUUGCAAAGAGUCGGACACGACUGAUGCAACUGAGCGCACACGCACACACCAGGGAGCACAGGCUCUUCUCUCCCUGCCCCUCCUUCCCUCUUCCUUCUUCCGUUUUUGUUCUUUCGAUGCCUUUCUAUUGCAUUGCUUGCUCUCUUUCAGACCCUGAUUUAUUUUUCUCACAUCGCAUUUAUAAUCACCCUGUAAAAUAGGCACUCCUAUUAUUAUCCUCAAGUGAUAGACAAGGCAAGCAAAGUCCAGAGGGGCUGAGGGGUAAGUCGGGGAAGCUGAGCACUGCGCUGUCCUCCAGUGACUCUCCUGGAGACCGGCUGCUUGUGGGAGAACCAGCAGUCAGCCUGCCAGGCCAGUCUGCGGGUCACUCACUCACUCAUGGGCUCCCUGGUCACAGUAGGCCGAGGACAUCCCUGUAUUAAGCCUCAGAAGGAAACGUGUUUCAUGGCAGAGGGUAACUCAGGUCGCAGGUGAAAGUGCUUCCUAAUCAGAGGUCCGUAGCGGAGGCGAUUCCCUGUGAGUCAGGUGGACCCAGUAGAAUCUUUAAGAGAGGAAGCGGGAGGCGAGGAGGAGUUAGUGUCUAGGGUCUACAGCUGGCGUCAGCCUUGCAGGAUAGCGGGGUCAAGAGUCCCAGGGUGCAGGCAGCCUCCAGAAGCUGGAAAAUGUCCAGGGAUGACGGAUUCUCCUCUGGAGGGUCCAGGAAGAAGUCCAGCCCUGCCGACCACCUGACCUUAGGCCCGUGAGCCUCUCCUCGAUUUCUGACCUCCAGAACGCUUGAUUCUGACAACAGAGUGUGAGAGUCUUGACAGGAGACCUCACUGACCAGCCCUUGAAUUCUGCGUUUCCUUGAAACUCAACUUCAUUGUCCCAGCAAGGACCUUGGCUCUUUAGAUUCUUCUGGACAGCUCUUCUGGCAUCCCACCCUGCUGACAUUGCCCAGAGCAUGGAGGCCAAGCUCCAAGACCUCAUACCUGCGGCAUCUCCAUAGCAAAGCAUACCUACUUACCGCUAAUCCCCCAAGGGGAAGUCAGAAGUGUUCCCGCCCUCAUUUCUCAUGGCCACCCAAUCUCCAACUCAUGCCAUCCUUAUUCUGCCAAGUCUCCCACCUUCCUUAGUUCCCAGGGCGACUAACUGUAGCUCAGGCCCCAUCACCUGUCCUGAGUCCUAUCCUGCCACCCUCCUUCCUAUCUCCCUGCCUCCAGUCUGGUCCUCUUAGAGUCUCAGGAGGGGAGUUGGUAACCUCCCCAGGCACAAGUGGGAACCAGAAGGCCUGGGCGUAGCAAGGCCUGAGUGAACUGCUCUGCGGAGAACUUAGGAACAGGGCAGCACCUUCCGGGACAUUUGUGGGACCCUCCUCCUGCUGGGAUGGGCUGUUCUUUACUCCCAUUUCUGGCCACAUGCGCCCCCACCCACCCCCAGCAUCCAGCCACCCUGGACCACAACGGCUCCUCUUCUCCCCUGCUCUGAUCUUUAUUUUUAAUUUUGGAAGAAAAAUAUGAAUAAGGAGCUCUUCACACUGUUCCUCCCCACCCUCUGAAAUCUUAGCCAUAUUUCAGGACCCAGUACAUCACCACUUUUUCUAUAGUGCCUAUCCUCAUCUCUGUGGGCAAGAUCCAUCUCUCUCUUUGGGUUCCUAUUACAUUUUCUGCUUUCCCUAGAAGACAAAUAGCAUCUGCUUUGUAUCAUGUCUGGGGUCUGUCUACCCCACUCAGCCAGCAGCUCUUGAGUGAGAGCCUUCAGUCCCUUGCCAGAGAAUCACUCGGGCAGGAGACGGUUCCUGUUAAAAUGCGUGAUUCCUCAGCCUGCCUGCAGGAGAGGUCACCUGUUCUUUGGGCUGCCCAGUAUUUAUUCCUGGUCCGUCUAGAAACAGCAUCCUCAUUUCCCAGGGGACAUUUCUCCUCCCCUGUUUGCAUUCUGCGUAAUCAUGGAAGAGGCUUGGCUCUGUCUCAUUGAGGGCUAGAAAGUGACACGUCGCAUUCUCUCGCUGGCAUUCGGAUCAUUACGCAAGGAAAUGAUAGAAAAAAACUCCAAAGAUUUUGCCCAUUCGUUCCGCCAACCUAAAACACCCAGUGCUUUUCUGUCUAAAUUAAAUUUUAAAAGGAAAAUAAAUUGAAAGAACUUAUGAUAUCUCAUGUCAGGACAACCUACAUUAUCUCAUCUAAUGAGGACAACUGAACAUCCCAGUCUCAGAAAGGACAGUUACUGGGGUCAGGUUUUAUUGCUUCCAACCUAAGAAAUAAAAGACCCACUGAAUCACAGUUUUUAGGAUGAGAACUGAGAAGUAUGCCUUUGUAUAAGAAGAUCCCCGGUGAUUUAAAAAAACAUACAUUUUAUUUUGGUAUAGUUUUAGAUUUUCAGGAUAGUUGUGAAGGUAAUAAGAGGUUUCCCUUAUACACCACACCAUCCCCACCUUUAACAUUUCGCUUUUCCAUUAGUUCCCACAAGUUAAAACACCCACUGCAGCACAUUCAUCACAACUAAGAAGCUGACAUUGACCUUGCUGUUCACUAAGUUCCAGACUUGAAUUUCAUCAGUUUUUCCGCAAACGUCCUGUGUUUGGAUGCAUUCCGGCACACCAUAUUGCAUGAAGUCCUCCUGUCUCUCUGAUCUCCCUUGGUCUCUGACUGUUCCUCAGCCCUUCCUUGUUCAUGACCUUGGCAGUGGCGAGUUGCACUGGCUGGGUAUCUUGUUGAAUGUCCCCUCCUAAUGAUUCUGACACUGACGCAGGCUCUGAGCAUCUCAAGGACCAGGCUCACGUCUGCACCGUUGCUAUUACGUCCUGCCUGUUCUGUGAGUGCCUAGUCAGGGGCGAGAGCUCAGUGAAUAGGUGUUGAUGGAAAUGAAGUUGACCGCCUGUCCGGCCGCCCUGCCCUGCGCUGCCCCGGGUCAGGAACCAGACCUCGCCCAUCCCUGCACCUCUGUGCCCCGCUUGACCCCCACACCGUUUGUGAUGGGACUCGGAGGAGCUCCCACCGUCCGAUAGAGCUGAACGCCUUUGACUCGGGUGGAGGUUUCAGACAGACAUAAUCACGUCAUUCCAGAGGAAAACGCUUAAUCGCGAUCAUCUGGCCAGAUUUUGACGUCUCUCUUUCAGUUCAUUCAUGAAAGUGUUGCUCUCAGUCCAAUCAGAUAAAAAGAAACAAAGGGAAGGGGGCGGCUGGCGCUCUCUCAUCAGAGCCGGGAAGAUGGGUUCUUGCUCUAGGCAUGUUUAUAAAUUUAAAAAUAUUUCAGAUGCUUUGGCGAUGCUGCUUAUUCUGGUUCAGCGGGCAGGGGGAAUGCGUGGUGGGGGAUGCGUGGUCGGGGCACCGUGCUCCAUCUCGUCAGGCAGCUGCUGCUGGAAUACGGUCCUCUUUGCUCUGCCAGAGGGGAAGUGUGGUGUGCUCGGCAUUGCAGAGCGUUAAGCUGAACAGACUCAAUUCACGCACUUCCUGGAAACAAUGAGAACCAAAAGCAGUUAUCAAGUAGAGCUUAGUGGAUCUUGGUACUGUGUUAAGUGCUUUCCAUACAUAAAUGUCUAAUGCUGAUAC